AACCUGCUUUUGGAGGUACAGCGAGCUGGGGCAGGGGACCCAGGCUCAGAUGUUUUGGGCAUCAGGAGCAUUGGCUCUGAGAUGAUCUCCUUAACGGGAAGAAAUAAGAUCUCCUCCCCCCUUGUCACCCCUCCCCCCUUCCUCUUUGUUGUCACUUCCUUUUUUUUUUGGUCUUGUUCUCCAAAGGUUUAAGAAUUGAGUGGAGGAAGGAGCCAGAUGACAAGGAAGGCACAUCGUCAUGCAGCCAGAACAAGAGGUGGCGGUACAGAAGGAAGGCAUAAGGGGGAGGGAGUAUAGACCCGCUCCCUGCUUGCCAGCCCAGUGUCCGAGCACCUCUCCAAGCGCUUGGUGCCUCGUUGUGGAACGCCAUGAAGGCACUGGCAUGUUGUGACUCCUUCCUUAAGGAGACCAAGAACCAGAAUAUCUCAGAGCGGGGAGGAGCCUUAGGGACUGCUUCGUCCAAUUCCGUUUCAUGGAUGAGGAGGCUGGUGAUCAGCAGGUUAGGGUGAUAUGCCCCAAGUCAGUGGAAGGCUAGGAACCAAGUCUCUGAAGGAGCUUUUGAAGGACACCACAUCUAAACCAUAACACAAGGAGACUACAGCUGGUAUAGUAAUUGCAAUUGGAGUCACUACCUGAUUAAGCUUAUGAUAAUCAAUCAUCAUUCUCCAAAAUCCAUCGAUCUUCUGCACAGACCAAACAGGAGAGUUAAUGGGCAUGUGGUAAGAAAUAUCAACGCUGCAUCUUUCUAGUUCUAGAUUGUGCCACUAAUUUCUGUAAUUUCUCCAGGGACAUACUUUACUUAUAAUUUACUAUUUUUCAGAUAAAGGCAGCUCUAAUAACUCUCUUUUGGCCUUUUCCACCUUAAUAGCUCUCACUCCACAGGGUAGGAAACCAAUGUGGAAGUUCUUCCAAGUGCUGAGUAUAUGUAUACCAAAUAUACAUUCUGAGACUGGGGAAAGAGACAUAGGAUGGAUUCAGGAACAUACUGGACCCACUGUGAGUGGACCUUGGCUAAAAUUCCAUUGACCUGCUGAUUACCAUAAGACUCUACUUUGAUCUCCUAGAAUUAUUUCCUUUUUACCAAUGUACAGUUAAAGACCAUAGGCCAUUUUGGGAAAGGAUGGGAGAAAGAUCAACAUUAAAAUUUUUGGGUUCUUCCUCAAGGGGUUUUGGAUCCAUAAACUAGCUCAAGUCUGGGAUCAGUUUGAGGGUUUGUGAUUCUCUAUUCUUAUGAUUCAAGGUAAACUUUUGUAUAUUUACCUUGGAAUUUUUCUGCUUAUCUAAGUUGAGUAGGAAUUUAGUAGGUCUCCCAUCUUUAUAACUUUUGGGACCACCAUGAUUAAUCAGUCCCAUAAAUCUACAUGAGUCAGACCAUUCUGUUCAUUGCUUCUCCUCUGUCAUCCACUAUGGUGAGUCUCUCACUUUGCCUUUAGAAGUUGAAUGCCACCACUUGGCCCCUGACAUUCCUGGAUCCAGUUAUAACUGAUCACAUUUAAGUUUUUCAAUUGAGUGACUGUGGUUCCCACCGUAAGGUCUGGCAUACAGAGAAGAACAAUGAUAGAGCUCUUCCAGGUUGCUGGUGCUCCCCUCACAAAUCUGUUUAUUAAAGUGGUGGUGAAGGGCACACCUUCUAGACCCUUCCCAUGUGGACAUGAAGGUCUUACAUGGCAACCCUACUUCAGCAUUCCAAUCUCUCUAUUCUCAGUCAUAGUAGGCCAUCUUUUGAUUCACCUUUUGACAAUGAGCCAAAUAAACUAUAGGUACCUUUAACAUUGUGAGUUGCUACAUUAAACCCAGAAUGUCUGCUUCAUGGGUCCAGAUCAAUAAAUUCAAUCCUGGUCUACUUUUAUGUCCUUUCAUCAUUAUUUCACAUCCUUAAAAUCCUUUCCCAUACAUGUUCCCAUGAAUUCUGCUUGUAUAAAUUAGAAAACUCAAGAAGUUCCUUCAGAGAAUAGCACUUUGUGGGCAACACUAUGCACUUCACCUCUAGGGGACCUGCCAACACUUGAGUCUGGUUAUGAGUCUACAGGUAAAAGGUGGGUGGUGAGGUUGAGUCCUCAGGCGUAUCAGCAUUGUCUUGCAUUGUGUCAUGAAAGGUCAUUACUGUUUCCAUAGACAUUGUAAGAUUAGUUCUCUCAGGGAGAAGUGGAGAGGCCAACCCCACAAGGGGUAGUGGUGGGGAUGCUCCUGCCACUGAGAUGAGGAGGCCACUUCUUCUGGCAAAAAUAAAACCAUCAGAGUGCAGGGGUUCAGUGUCUCUAGCAUUAUUAAGGCCCUCCCACAUAUCUCUGUCUUAAUUUACAGAAUCCCAUUGUUUUUCAAUCAAUCAGUGCCCUCAGCCCUUGAGGCUGAGAGUGAACUUGUGUCAUAAUUCAGCCAAUUGUAGGAAAAGGACUUUUGUCUGGUUUUAGGCAACUUUAACCCUAAGAGAAGAAGAUUCUCCUUCAGGGUGUAUGUGUAUGUGAGUGUGUGUGUGUGUGUGUGUGCAUGUGUGUGUGUGUGUGUGUGUGUGAUUAUAAAAGAGGAUUUAUCAGACUGGUUUAUAGGAUCAAAAGCUGCAUAGCCCCACAAAGGCUGUUUACACACUGGAGAGCCAGAGGAAUCAGUAGCUCCUCAACCCAAGAACCUGAUGCCUCAGGAAUAGGGGGGGCCAAUAAUGUGGGCAAAGUCCCAAGACCAAAGACCUGGAAGCUCCCUGGAGAAUUGCUGGUGGGAUUACAUUAUGUCCACAGGCCUUGGGGGCAGUGACAGAUGCACUGGCUCCAGAAUAUAGCUUGCAUCCACUGAGGCUUCCUCAUGUCUUUCACUUUAUGUUCCAUCUGGGCCUGCAGCUUAUUGGAUAGUGCUCCUUACAUUCAGGGUGGGUUUCCCCUUUCAUUUGCUGUCUCAUGCCAAUCAUCUUUGAAAACAUCCUCACAGAUACAGCCAGAAGUCUCUUUUUAAAAAUUUGUUCUAAUUAGUAAAACAUGACAGUAGAAUGUAUUUCAAUUCAUUGUACAUAUAUGGAGCAUAACUUUUCAUUUCUCUGUACAUGAUGUACAGUCACACCAUUCAUGCAAUCAUACACGUGCCUAGGAUAAUGAUAUCCAUCUCAUUCCACCAUCUUCACUACUCCCAUGCGCCCUCCCCUCUUCUCACUCCCUUUUGCCCUAUCCAAAGUUUCUCCAUUCUUCCCAUGCCCUCAAACCCCCAUUAUGGAUCAGUAUCCACUUAUCAGAGAAAACAUUUGGUCUUUGAUUUUUGUGACUGGCUUACUUCGCUUAGCAUGAUAUUCUCCAACUCCAUCCAUUUACCUGUAAAUGCCAUAAUUUUAUUUUCUUUUAAUGCUGAGUAACAUUCCAUUGUGUAUGUAUACCACAGUUUCUUUCCAUUCAUCUGUUGAAGGGCAUCAAGGUUGGUUCCAUAGUUUAGCUAUUGUGAACUGAGCUGCUAUAAACAUUGUUGUGGCUGUGUCACUGUAGUAUGCUGAUUUUAAGUCUUUUGGGUAUAGACCAAGGAAUGGGAUAGCUGGGUCAAAUGGUGGAUCCAUUCCAAGUUUUAUAAGGAAUCUUCAUACUGGUUUCCAUACUGGCUGCACCAAUUUGCAGUCCCACCAGCAAUGUAUGAGUAUACCUUUUCCCUCCACAUCCUUGACAACACUUAACUAUUGCUUGUAUUCUUGAUAGUUGUCAUUCUGACUGGGGUGAGAUAAAAUCUUAGAGUUGUUUUGAUUUGCAUUUCUCUAAUUGCUAGCAAUGUUGAACAUUUUUUCAUAUGUUUGUUGUUGAUCAAUUGUAUUUCUGAAGUCUGUUAUGUUCCUUGGUCCAUUUAUUGAUUGGGUUAUUUGUUGUUUGGUGUUAAGUUUUUUGAGUUCUUUGUAUAUCCUGGAGAUUAGUGCUCUCUCUGGUGUGUGUAAGGAAAAGAUUUUUCUCCCACUCUUUAGGCUUUCUCUUCACACUAUUGAUUUUUUCCUUUGCUGAGAAGAAGUUUUUAGUUUAAAUUCAUUCCAUUUAUUGAUUCUUGAUUUUAUUUCUUGCACUUUAGGAAUCUUGUUAAGGGAGUCAGGACCUAAUCCAAUAUUAUGGGAGGUCAUCCUUGCACUUGAUUUGAGUUACCUCCCUGGCUGGGCGAGAGGCGCUUAGGCACAUCUUGUGUCCAGAGCUUUCCCCACCCUUCUCAGGUCCGAGGGCUUGUCCAUGUGGAUGCGUGUCUUGCCAAUACCCUGAAGACCCAAUCAUCGCCCAUGACCUUGGGACACUGCCCCCCUUAAUCUUCAUUGGAUGGGAUUUUCCCCAGAAUUUUUUGUUCCCCCAUAAAAGUCCACUCCCUGGCGUGUUCUCUCUCUCUCGCUAGCCUCUUCAGUAAACCUCGAUACCAUAAUAGGUGGCUGGAGGCUGGAGCUAGGAGAAGCCGUCCUGGAGCUGGUUUAAAGGUAAUUAGAAUCUUGUCUCUUUAAUUCAAAACUCCCUAGAGAUUUCUCAACGUUUUGAACCUUCAUUCAUGAAGCCGGUGCUGAUUGCGGGCUAAACAACAUGAUAAAGAAUUGGACCUACUUUUUCUUCUAUUAGGUGCAGGGUCUCUGACCUAAUUCCUUGGUUCCUGAUCCACUUUGAGUUGAGUUUUGUGCAUGGUGAGAGUUAGAGAUUUAAUUUUGUUUUGCUGCAUAUGAAUUUCCAGUUUCUCCAGCACCAUUUGUUGAAGAGGCUAUCUUUUUUUCCAAUGUAUGAUUUUGGCACCUUUCUCUAGUAUGAGUUAAGUGUAUUUAUGUGGGUUUGCAUCUGUGUUUUCUAUUCUAUACCAUUGGUCUACAAGUCUACUUUGGUGCCAAUACCAUGCCAUUUUUGUAACUAUAGUUCUGUAGUAUAAUUUAAAUUCUGGUAUUGUGAUACCUCUUGUUUCACUCUUCUGACUAAGGAUUGCUUUGGCUAUUGUGGGUCUUAUUCUCCAAAAUAAAUUUUAUGUUUUCUUUUUCUAUUUAUAUGAGAAAUAUUGUUGGGAUUUUAAUUGGAAUUGCAUUAAAUCUGUAAAACACUUUUGGAAGUAUGGCCAUUUUGACAAUAUUAAGUCUUCCUAUCCAAGAACAUGGGAGAUCUUUCCAUCUUCUAAGGUCUUCUAAUUUCUUUCUUAGUGUUCAGUAGUUUUCAUUGUAGAGGCCUUUCACCUCUUUUGCUAGAUUGAUGCCCAAAUGUUUUAUUUUCUUUGAGGCUACUGUGAAUGGGGGUUUUGCUAAUUUCUCUUCAUUUGAUUCAUCACUGAUGUAUAGGGGUGCAAUUAAUUUAUAGGUGUUAAUUUUAUAUCCUGCUACUUUGCUGAAUUUAUUUAUAAGUUUUAGAAAUAUUGAAGUAUUUUGGGUCUUCUAAAUAUAGAAUCAUGUCAUUAGCAAAUAGGGAUAGUUUGAGUUCUUCUUUUUCUAUUUGUAUUCAUUUAAUUUCUUUCUUUUCUGUCUAAUUGCUCUGGCUAGAGUUUCCAGAACCAUGUUGAAUAGAAGUGGUGAAAGAGGGCAUCCCUGUCUUGUUCCAGUUUUCAGAGGGAAUGCUUUCAGUUUUUCUCCAUUUAGAAUGAUUCUGGCCUUGGAUUUAGCUUUUACCAUGUUGAGAUAUGUUCCUCCUAUCCCGAGUUUUUCUAGUGUUCUGAACGUGAAGGGGUGCUGUAUUUUGUCAAAUGCUUUUUCUGCAUAUAUUGAGAUAUUAUAUCAUUCUUAUUUUUAAGUCUAUUGAUGUGAUGGAUUACAUUUACUGAUUUCUGUGUAUUGAACCAACCUUGCAUUCUUGGAAUGAACCCCACUUGAUCAUGGUGCAAUAUCUUUUUAAUAUGUUUCUGUAUGUGAUUUGCCAGUAUUUUAUUAUGAAUUUUUGCAUCUAUAUUCAUCAGGGAUAUUGGUCUGAAGUUUUCUUUCCUUGAUGUGUCUUUGCCUUGUUUUGGUGUCAGGAGGACACUAGCUUCCUAGAAUUUGUUUGGAAGGGUUCCCUCCUUUUCUAUUUCAUGGAAUCAUUUUAAGAGGGUUGGUGUUAGUUCUUCUGUGAAGGUCUGGUAGAACUCAGCUGAGAAUCCAUCUGGUCCUGGGCUUUUCUUUCUUGGUAAGCUUUUGAUGGUUUCUUCAAUUUCAUUGCUUGAAAUUGAUCUUUUUAAAAUUUCUAUGUCUUCCUGAUUCAAUUUGAGUCUGUCAUAUGUUUCUAGAAAUUUGUCUAUGUCUUCAAGAUUUUCUAUUUUAUUAGAGUAUAAAUUUUCAAAAUAGGUUCUGUUGGUCAUCUGUAUAUAGGUAGUGUCUAUUGUGAUAUUUCUUUUUCAUUGCGAAUUUCAGUAAUUUGCAUUUUCUCUCUUUCUCUUCAUAAGAGUGGCUAAGCAUGUUGCAACAUAUGACUAAAUUAGUCAGGGUCACUCUAGGUAAAUUGGGUUGGCACUGAAUAGAGAAAACACAGAGACAGAGAAAAUACCUUUUUCUUGGGGUUCACUGAUGGCUCCUUGGCCCCAGCUCACACAAGGGAAGCAAGAGAGGUGACAAAAGAGAGUGAGAGCAACCUGAAGCCCUAUUUAUUGAGGGGAAGACACUUAAGAAAAUUACACCCAAAUGUGGCAAGGGACUGGUGUUUCAGUCUCAUUGGGUGAUGCCCACUCCCAGAGCUUCAAUCUCCUGCCGAGUGAAGGUGAGGUCCACCUGCUCUCAUGCUGCAAGUGGAAGCCAGUCCCACACCUCCGUCCCUUAAGUCUAAGGGUCCAUGCAUGCUUACUCCUAUGUGGCAGCUCCUGACAUAAGCGUUUAUCAAUUUUAUUGAUUCUUUUCAAGGAACCAACUUUUUGUUUUGUUGAUUUUUUGGAUUGCUUCUUUUGUUUCAAUUUCAUUGACUUCAGCUUGAUUUUAAUUAUAUUCUGUCUUCUACUGCUUUUGGUGUUGAUUUGUUCUUCUUUUUCUAGGCCUUUGAGAUGUAGUCUUAGUUUAUUUAUUUGUUGACUUUCUAUUUUUUUAAUGAAUGAGCUCAAUGCAAUGAACUUUCCUCUUAGACUGUCUUCAUAGCAUCCCGCAGAUUUUGAUAUGUUGUAUUUCUAUUCUCAUUUACCUCUAAGUAUUUUUUUUUAAAUUUCAUCCCUGAUUUUUUCUGCUAUCCAUUUGCCAUUCAAUAGCAUAUAAUUUAGUCUUCAGGUGAUAGAGUGGCUUCUAUUUUUUAUUGUAUCAUUGAUUUCUAAUUUUAUUCCUUACAAUCUGAUAGGAUGCAAGAUAUUGUUUAUUUAUUUAUUUUUAUUUAUUUUCUAAGACUUGCUUUAUGGAUAAGAUAUGGUCUAUUUUAGAGAAGGCUCCAUGUGCUGCUGAGAAGAAAGUGUAUUCAGUAAUUUCAAAAUCUCUGUCUCUUUAUUGAAGUAAUUUUUUACUUCCUCUUUUUUCUCUUUGAUUUCACUUCCUAUACUACCCUUUACUUAACAGAUCAGUCUGAUUCUGUGCAUUCUACACUCCUUCUCUGAUAUUACUUCCACUGUAGUGUCAAUGGAUUCUGUUAUUGGAGUACCUUGGUUGUUUGGGGUGAUUUGCUCUCUUGCCUUGUAGGGCAUGAUGUAACAUGGGGCAUGUUGCAUCAGAAAAGAGGAAACUUAACUUGCUGGCUGCUACCCGCUUCCCAGUCCUGGGGCCACAUAUGGCUAAGAGAGCACCUAGCGAUUAGCCAGAGGCAUUGCCGUGGGUUAUGAUGAAGAAUCGGACCACCUCUAGGAUAGGCUCAGAACCCCUCUGCCCUCACAUACAUUACUGCCUGUAGGAUGGGUGUAGAUGUAAAUUCUCCCCAUCCUGCUGACCUUCAUCCUGAUUGACUCCUGUACAUUAUAUUAGCUGUGUAUGUUUUCUCAUUAAACGAGAUCCUGCUUUGACAGUUCUCCCUGGCACGUCUGAUUGUCCUCCAUGGAGGGAGGGCUGGGUGUGGGCGGCCAGUAGACCUUUACCUUUCUUGGCCUGUCCUGGUUGGGGCAUGCUCCCCCAAUCUCUCCCACAGGUCUGGAGGGAAGGGGGGAGGCUAAAAACCCCGACAUCUGGGGCCCCACGCGGGACACGAAGAACUCAGUUUAUCAAGAGUGAGAGUAUCAAGCGAGUUUUCCGAGGUAAGGGUAUCCCUGGAAAGAUGGGGCAAUCUCACACUAGGCAUAACGACCCAGCUCUUAUGCUCAAAAGCCGAGGUUUAGAGAUCUUGGAUGUGCAGGCCAAAAAGGUCUGGGAAACCUUGACACUUGUGGGGUCCUGGUAGAUGGCUGAGGGGGAGGAGGAGGGAGAGGUUUGCCAGAGGGAGCCAGGCCGGCCUGUGGGAGCCCCAGGUGUUUCUUCUCGUGGCCUGCUGCAGGCCCCACUGGCGCCUGGGCGUCUGCAUCCCCCGUUCUGUCCCACUCCACCCCUGGGCUUUGGGCCACCUGGGACCGCACAGAACAGUUGGUGAGGAAGAGGGAAGUUAACCUGGGAGAGGACCCCCCUCUGAGGGACUGCCUGUUUCUCUCCUGGCCCCUCAAGACCCUUUUAUCUGCCCUCAAAACACCUACUCCUCCUACCACCAAUCCUUGGCCUGGUCCCCUAAAUUCCACACUAACUUCCCCUGUCCCGGAACACUUGGUAGACAGGAUGGGGAAUGGCCUCCGCCAUAUUGUCAUCCCUCCCCCUCACAGAAAUUCUCCGCCCUCUUACAAAAAAAACCAAACAAACAAACAAAAAAAACACCUCAAAAAAAGACCAUCUCAGAGGAUGGGCCUAAUUCGCCCUGGGCUGAAACCAUCUUCCAGGGUCUGGAAAGAUCAAAGUCCACCUAAGAUGCCCUGCCCCCAGUGUAAAAAGGGAUUUCAUUUGGCAAAAGGAUUGUAAGUCCAAAUUUGAUAUUGGGGGGAAGCCUUUAAACUAGUAAUGGGGUGCCCUCCAGCCCCGUCACCCAAAGGAGGCGCCCCGCCUAGACACCGGCCUAGGGCCCACUGGCCCAGGCCAGGGCGAGCUGAGCCAGGCCUGGUGGGUGCUGUGUGGGCGGGGCCAAGCAGAGUCCCAGGCUGCCACUGCUUGAGCCAGAGCUCUGACCUGCCCGCCCGACCUGGAGGCACAGUCUCAUAGGCUCUUGCUCCCUGUGCGGCCCAGUGGCAGCUUGGUGGCAGCUCGAGUCCGGGACACUCCCCCAAGGCCAUCUGAGGUUGCCGGGGGAUGGCGAUAGGGAGAGAGAAUGGCCUUCCAGCGCCACCUGAGAAAAACAGUUUCCUUCAAAUUGGCAAAAUAAUAAAAUGAAAAAUUUGAACAUUUUAGCUUUGGGUGGAAGCAUAAAAAUUUGCCAGCAAGGAGCCAGUGGGGACUCAGAGGGCUACCAAGGAUCUUGCCACCUUCCUCGAGAGGGUGGAAAAGAGCCUCCAAAGGAAAUUCCCCCCAGGGGCCCCUUCAGGAUUGGCCCUGCUUUAUACAAAAAAAAGGGGGGGGACUACACGCCAUUCUCAUGCCUCCUGAGCUUUAUAAAUGCAGGGUUAGCAACAUCUCAAAUCCAUAGCAGCUGAUAUCCAGAACUCCAAUUUAGCUAUCCUUACAUCUGACAUCCUUACAUCUUACAUCCUUACAUCUGACAAUGGUUCUCCCACACCUGGAGGCUAAUGGAUAGAUAUGUUAAUGAGCACCAUUGAGGCCUAUUUCAAAUGUAAAAAUACCCUGAGGCUUACUUGUGGGAAUACCUUCAAACCCAUAUGUAAGUUACAGGAAGAAGGAUGGGAUAUCAGAAGCAGAGUCAAACCCAGGUGGUAGCCAGGAUGCUUUUUUCAAUAUCUAUUUUAAGUAGAUUUUGCCUUAUGCUCUUCCCAAAACCACACAUAUACUCCAAAGCUGGCACACCAAAAUGGUUUUUCUGCUAUUAUGCCCUCUCCCACAUCAUGGAGUUCUGUUUUAUUUUUUGAGCUCAUGAUUUUGAUCCUACAGACCUAGGUUAAUGUUUUUCUGAUCAGUUCUAUUUUUUGAUCAACUGUGGAGUUUUUAAACAUUGCAAUGGAGAUUUCACCUGUGAAAAGCUACAAGGCCUUUACUAUUGUGUUAUAUGUGCACACUUGUGUUAUGCGUUGAAUGUCUGUAUGUGUGUAUGUCCAUAUGUCAUACCCAUGAUAGAAAAUUGGCAGAUAUAUGAGGAGCACUCAUGAAAAAUUUUAAAAAAUGGAUGCAAAUAUCUUUUAUUCAUGUGAUUUAAACAGUUCAAUUUAAAUUGGGUAAACAGAUGAAAGUAAAGAUGUAUUUAAAAUUAAGCUUACAAGUUUUUCUAGGUGUUCAAAAAAAACUAAUAAAAUGUUGAGGUCUAUGAAAUAAUCUACCUAAAUUCAGAAAUUUACAAAGAUUGUUUCAAAAUGUGAACAAAAAAUGGAGGUUAACAGAUGGAAAGAAGAAAUUAGAAGAUUCUAGAUAUAAAACUCAUAUUUAAUAGAAGAAAAAAAAGUGUUCCUAAAUAAAGAAAAUCUUUAUGUGAUAAAUAAGAGUUUAAGUAAGUGAUAAAGAAGGUCUAUGUAAGUUUGUUCUUACAAUCAGUCAUAUGUUAAAAGGACAAAGAUUUCUUAAAACAUUAGUUUACCCAUAACAUUGUGUUUUAUUAAGUUUUGUUUCUUGUUUCUAGAGCAAGUAAUCUUUAAAAAAAAAUUAAACAGCUGGUUAAACAAGAACUGUUAUUUUAGAGAAUUGUGCUGUGUUAUUUCUUUAAAAGCUAAAUUUGGUUAAUAUAAAAACAUCAGUGUAAUUGUGGUGCUAUUAAUGUGUUCAUAUCUUCCAGGUAUACAAGUCUGUAAGGUAGAAGCUUUAAAAGAGCAUUAUAUCAAGCGGGUGUUCUAAAGUUGUACGGUAAUUUUAGGCUUAAGAGAAAAACAUAUUGGAGAUUUAUUUAUAUCAUUGAUGUUCUAUAACUGGACCUGUUAUCAAUAGGAUGUGUAAAGUUUUAUGUUACUUUUUACACUGAGGUAUGAUUUUUUAAUUGUAAAAAUGAAAAGACCAUUCUGGACACUUUGCCUGGUUGUGACCAGACUCCUCAUUGUCUCCCUCAUGGCAUUCAUCGUGGCCACGGGGAUGGGAACUGGACUUGCUGGCCUCUAUACUUCUUUACAGAUGUGCAAUAAGCUUUCUCAGCAGAUGAUAGAUGGUAUGCACCACGUGCCAACACUAUCUUAGACCUGCAAUCUCAACUCAUUCCUUGGCUACAGUAGUACUCCAAAACCAUCGUGGCCUGGACCUACUUACCGCUUGAGAAGGGGAACUAUGCCUGCUCCUACAGGAGGAGUGCUGCUUCUAUGCCAAUCGCUCUGGUAUCAUCCAAGACGAGAUCAAGAGACUACAAGAAGACCUUAAAACCUGUUGGAAUGAACUGCAAUCUAGCUUUCUAUGGACUGGGCUAAAAUGGUGGGUGGCUCCCUUAUCGAGCCAGAGCUGUUCAACUGAUGGUUGUCUGGCAGCAACAAGAUACUGACAAGAUAUCUUACAAGAUACUGACUGGGAACCCUAUGAGGUUGGUCAUGGCCCCUACCAGGACAUACAGGUGUAAGCCGGGAGCAGAAAGGUUUCCUUCAUAGGUGAUAGACAUUUCCCGUCCUUAAAGCUUCCCAUUGGGUCUGCCAACCCUGCCUGAAGAGCCAGAGUGGUAGUCAAUGACAGGUAAGAUCCCCAGAGGGGGACAACCUAAGACAGGCACACUCUCGAGUAAGGCAAACACCUGCUAAUAAAACAAAACGAGGGAGAUGUAGGGCAUGAUGUAACGUGGGGCAUGUUGCAUCAGAAAAGAGGAAACUUAACUUGCUGGCUGCUACCCGCUUCCCAGUCCUGGAGCCACAUGUGGCUAAGAGAGCACCUAGCGAUUAGCCAGAGGCAUUGCCGUGGGUUGCGAUGAAGAAUCAGACCACCUCUAGGAUAGGCUCAGAACUCCUCUGCCCUCACAUACAUUAUUGCCUGUAGGGUGGGUGUAGAUGUAAAUUCUCCCCAUCCUGCUGACCUUUAUCCUGAUUGACUCCUGUACAUUAUAUUAGCUGUGUAUGUUUUCUCAUUAAACGAGAUCCUGCUUUGACA